CCUACGGGUGGCAGCAGUGAGGAAUAUUGGUCAAUGGACGAGAGUCUGAACCAGCCAAGUAGCGUGAAGGAUGACUGCCCUAUGGGUUGUAAACUUCUUUUAUAUGGGAAUAAUAUGUUCUACGUGUGGGAUUAUGUCUGUACCGUAUGAAUAAGGAUCGGCUAACUCCGUGCCAGCAGCCGCGGUAAUACGGAGGAUCCGAGCGUUAUCCGGAUUUAUUGGGUUUAAAGGGUGCGUAGGUGGAUCGUUAAGUCAGUUGUGAAAAUUUGCGGCUCAACCGUAAAAUUGCAGUUGAAACUGGCAGUCUUGAGUACAGUAGAGGUGGGCGGAAUACGUGGAGUAGCGGUGAAAUGCUUAGAUAUCACGAAGAACUCCGAUAGCGAAGGCAGCUUACUGGACUGCAACUGACACUGAGGCUCGAGAGUGUGGGUAGCAAACAGGAUUAGAUACCCUAGUAGUC
rnacentral:rRNA from 1 species